rnacentral:SRP_RNA from 2 species
CGCCAGGUACAGCCAAUGUCUGAAUGUGAAUCAUGUCAGGUCGGGAACGAAGCAGCAUUAAGCAAUCUCAGAUGUGUGCGCUGCCACCUGGCUUUU